rnacentral:rRNA from 1 species
AGCGAACGCUGGCGGCAGGCUUAACACAUGCAAGUCGAGCGGGCAUCCUUGUGGUGUCAGCGGCAGACGGGUGAGUAACGCGUGGGAACGUGCCCUUCGGUUCGGAAUAACUCAGGGAAACUUGAGCUAAUACCGGAUACGUGCGAGAGCAGAAAGGUUUAUCUGCCGAAGGAUCGGCCCGCGUCUGAUUAGCUAGUUGGUGAGGUUAUGGCUCACCAAGGCGACGAUCAGUAGCUGGUCUGAGAGGAUGAUCAGCCACACUGGGACUGAGACACGGCCCAGAAUCCUACGGGAGGCAGCAGUGGGGAAUAGUGGACAAUGGGGGCAACCCUGAUCCAGCCAUGCAGCGUGAGUGAUGACGGCCUUAGGGUUGUAAAGCUCUUUUCUCCGGGACGAUAAUGACGGUACCGGAGGAAUAAGCCCCGGCUAACUUCGUG